CGAGCACACACGUGUGAACGCACGCACGCACACACACACACACACACACACACACACGCUCCCUAGAGACCUUCCCUCUUCCGCGUGCCCUCGUGGUUGGGAAUUCGCGCCAGAAGCCCGGGGAUCCGGCAGGGCGCGGGAAGUGGGAGCGACCCGUGCCCCGCAGCACAGAGCCGGCCGGAAGGGACGCGAGACUGAGGAUGCAGCCCUGAUACAAAUGCACACUCCGCGGUGCCUAAGAAUCUAGGCGCGCGAACAUCAUUCGUGUGGCCAGACUGAUUGACACAUCUCCAUUUGAUGGUGCUGUCACUUUCCAUCUCUUAGCAAAGGCCAACAUAAAUUUUUACUUUGGCCCAGAAACGUGCUCCGUUUUCCACGAAGACCGAGACGCUGCCCUGUUUCCUCCUUUCCCUGGAUUGAAGUCAGGACAUUUGGGUCUCAUCCACGUUCUGCAACAAAUUCACCCGGGCAGAUGAGAGCUGGGUGGAUCAAAACGGGACCCCAGGACCAUCUUAUCUCUUGUUCUCCCCAAAUGCUUGCUGGCUGUUUCUGCUCCCUCUUCACAAAUGAGAGGCUGUGUGCUUUGGGAACAGCACCCAGAGAAGUCAAAGGCUUGGUCGCUGAAGCAUGACACCAUCUAAUGCCUUUGCCAAUGGCUGGGUUAGGUUCACUGUGAACUACCCCACAACGUGAACCACCACGGCCCCCGCACCCAUGGCCACCCUGAAACUGCUGGCAGAACCCACAGAGCGGUGGGGGUGUGGUGAACAUAUCUUUGAUAUUGUGAGAGGCAAGUGGCCUCAAGGGAUGAGAGGAGCAGCCAGGGCUUGGCCCCUCUUCAGGGUCAGGAAAUGCCAAUGACACUGAGUGACCAGUGCGAUGUGGAUCUAAAUAAAUAAAAUUUUUUAAAAAUGCUGGAAAUAAUCCGC